UACAGAGGUCUCAAGCGUUGUUCGGAUUCAUUGGGCGUAAAGGGUGCGUAGGCGGCGCGGUAAGUCAUGUGAAAUCUCGGAGCUUAACUUCGAAACUGCAUUCGAUACUGCCGUGCUUGAGGACUGGAGAGGAGACUGGAAUUUACGGUGUAGCGGUGAAAUGCGUAGAUAUCGUAAGGAAGACCAGUGGCGAAGGCGGGUCUCUGGACAGUUCCUGACGCUGAGGCACGAAGGCCAGGGGAGCAAACGGG
rnacentral:rRNA from 1 species